rnacentral:rRNA from 1 species
UGAACGCUGGCGGUAGGCCUAACACAUGCAAGUCGCACGGCAGCACAGUAAGAGCUUGCUCUUACGGGUGGCGAGUGGCGGACGGGUGAGGAAUACAUCGGAAUCUACUUUUUCGUGGGGGAUAACGUAGGGAAACUUACGCUAAUACCGCAUACGACCUACGGGUGAAAGCAGGGGAUCUUCGGACCUUGCGCGAUUGAAUGAGCCGAUGUCGGAUUAGCUAGUUGGCGGGGUAAAGGCCCACCAAGGCGACGAUCCGUAGCUGGUCUGAGAGGAUGAUCAGCCACACUGGAACUGAGACACGGUCCAGACUCCUACGGGAGGCAGCAGUGGGGAAUAUUGGACAAUGGGCGAAAGCCUGAUCCAGCCAUACCGCGUGGGUGAAGAAGGCCUUCGGGUUGUAAAGCCCUUUUGUUGGGAAAGAAAAGCAGCAGGUUAAUACCCCGCUGUUCUGACGGUACCCAAAGAAUAAGCACCGGCUAACUUCGUG